rnacentral:rRNA from 1 species
CUACGGGUGGCAGCAGUGGGGAAUAUUGCACAAUGGGCGCAAGCCUGAUGCAGCCAUGCCGCGUGUAUGAAGAAGGCCUUCGGGUUGUAAAGUACUUUCAGCGGGGAGGAAGGGAGUAAAGUUAAUACCUUUGCCCAUUGACGUUACCCGCAGAAGAAGCACCGGCUAACUCCGUGCCAGCAGCCGCGGUAAUACGGAGGGUGCAAGCGUUAAUCGGAAUUACUGGGCGUAAAGCGCACGCAGGCGGUUUGUUAAGUCAGAUGUGAAAUCCCCGGGCUCAACCUGGGAACGGCAUCUGAUACUGGCAAGCUUUAGUCUCGUAGAGGGGGGUAGAAUUCCAGGUGUAGCGGUGAAAUGCGUAGAGAUCUGGAGGAAUACCGGUGGCGAAGGCGGCCCCCUGGACGAAGACUGACGCUCAGGUGCGAAAGCGUGGGGAGCAAACAGGAUUAGAUACCCCAGUAGUC